rnacentral:rRNA from 1 species
GACGGGUGAGUAAUGCCUAGGAAAUUGCCCUGAUGUGGGGGAUAACCAUUGGAAACGAUGGCUAAUACCGCAUGAUGCCUACGGGCCAAAGAGGGGGACCUUCGGGCCUCUCGCGUCAGGAUAUGCCUAGGUGGGAUUAGCUAGUUGGUGAGGUAAGGGCUCACCAAGGCGACGAUCCCUAGCUGGUCUGAGAGGAUGAUCAGCCACACUGGAACUGAGACACGGUCCAGACUCCUACGGGAGGCAGCAGUGGGGAAUAUUGCACAAUGGGCGCAAGCCUGAUGCAGCCAUGCCGCGUGUGUGAAGAAGGCCUUCGGGUUGUAAAGCACUUUCAGUCGUGAGGAAGGUGGCGUAGUUAAUAGCUGCAUUAUUUGACGUUAGCGACAGAAGAAGCACCGGCUAACUCCGUGCCAGCAGCCGCGGUAAUACGGAGGGUGCGAGCGUUAAUCGGAAUUACUGGGCGUAAAGCGCAUGCAGGUGGUUUGUUAAGUCAGAUGUGA